UACGUAGGUGACAAGCGUUGUUCGGAUUUACUGGGCGUAAAGGGCGCGUAGGCGGUCAGCACAAGUCAGUUGUGAAAUCUCCGGGCUUAACUCGGAAAGGUCAACUGAUACUGUGCGACUAGAGUGCAGAAGGGGGCAACUGGAAUUCUCGGUGUAGCGGUGAAAUGCGUAGAUAUCGAGAGGAACACCUGCGGCGAAGGCGGGUUGCUGGGCUGACACUGACGCUGAUGCGCGAAAGCCAGGGGAGCGAACGGG
rnacentral:rRNA from 1 species